CUAUGUGAUUUAUAAAGUUCAAGUUUCUUGCACAUUUAUCAUGUGAGGUCUAUGGUAGGUCAAGUACUACCCAUGUUUUCAAGUAUUUUUUUUCUAUCCAAGGGUUCCUGAUAGAUUUCUUCAUAUGCCAUUAUGUGAGGCUAUGUAUGAGACAGUGUGUUGGUUUAUAGAUGCAACAUGCAAGUGAAUCGUGUUGGUUUUGAAGCUGCAGCUUUGGUUAGCAGUUAGAAAAAAUGUGAUCUUCUAAAUUCUGUUGGGUUAUACUAGCAGUGAACAGCCCAUAUGUGGUUGGGGGCAACCAUUACGGCAUCGUCGUCUCCAUCAAGGCAGCGGAUGCUUGGACAUGGAGCUGGUCAAGUGUGAUUCUUGUGAUUCUUCUACGGCUCUACGCUUUGUCAUCCAUGUGAUUCUGUUUAGUGGAACCAUGUCUCGUUACAUUACAUCUGAUAUUAUUUCUUUGUCGGAUCUGGAGCACUCUUGAAGAUCAUUUUAAUUAAUUCCAAAGGAUUAUGACAUUGGUGUGAGCAAAAGGAUCAAUACAAUAGUUGCUUUGCUGAA